AAUACUACGAGAAGAAAUUAAGUUCCUCGUAAUUGAUGAGCAGGAAAAAGAAGAAAAUAAAUAUAAAAUAAAUUUGUUCAUCGUUAUUUCCCAUUUUUGGAGCUCGACUACUUACAAAUUACAAAGGCUGCCUCAAAUUUAACCUAAAAACCAAAUGUAUGAUUCUCUAAUCCUUAUAUGGAGUACAUUCUAUACCGCUCUCUCGAUCUCUUUCCUAUAUACUUCAGUGAUUUUUCCCCUUCAAAUUGGGAUCCCAGGGUCGAUUUAGUUUUUUGGUUCAAUUGAUUGAGGAAGUUUGAGUUCAGAUGUGGUUGUAUCUCCAUCUCUCCCCGCCGAAUCUGCAAGCAGCUUUCAGGAGGCAUCUUUCCAUUGGUACAGGUUGACAGUGAUGGCUUUAUUGAUCUUAGUAGCCUCUUAAAAGUCACAGAAGGCUAUGGUAAACCAGUGUCUCUGUCAGUCAAAUAUAAUAAGACUGUAAUUGCGAACAAAAAGUUUCUAGUUGACAAGCGGGAGCUGAGGAUGGUGACAGAGGUUCAAAGUUAAAAGACAUUGCUUUUGAAGUUGUGAAUGCUGAAGGUGACUUAGAUUAAACUGUGACGACUCUCUAAGAUAUGCUUUUAGGCAGGGGCGAUGCAUUGUUUCUUCUGUUACUCUUCCCCAAAGAGAAGGAAGUUUCUUUAUUGAGGCUGCUCACUCUCACCACCAUGAGCUGCAUGUCAAAUUUAAGGUUAACCUAUCAAGAUCUUACGUGCAGAGUCUGUUACCACCUCUGAUCUCCGAGCUACGGAAGAGCUUGAUUGUGAUGAACCACAAUCUUCAGUUUCUGGUGCUGCAAAUCAUGUGAGGUCCAAGAAGGGGUUUGAGUGUCAGAACUCAGAGGUAAUUGUUCCACUGUCUGUGGAGAAGUCUGAUACAUCAUCUUCCCUCAAAACUCCAAAGGCGGAGCAUGGAAGUUCCAUACCCGCAAUGUUUUUCGAAUCAAAGUUGCGAAAGAAGCAGGUAGAAAGAGAUAGUUUGAUACAUUAAGGGAAACUAUAACACAUUCAAUAUCAUCACACAUUCAAUAGCAGCUUGUACAUUAAGGGAAGCUAUAACACAUUCAAUAUCAUCACAUUGGCUAUCAGCAUGACUUCAAUGUUUUGGGAAAUAAGGAGGGUUUAGUGAGAUGUAGGAAGUCAGAUUAUAACUUAAGAAAAUUUGAUGGGAUGGGGAAGGUAGGCUGGCGAUUUAAGUAUUAUUAAUAGUUUAAGUGGGCCUUUAUUAUUUAAGAACUUUGAUACCAAUGUAAUAAGAGGUUAAAGUUGAUGAACAAAUAUGCAAUAUCAUUAUAGUAGAUCAGAAAUGAAACUUCCAUUGAAGCAAGCCUGACAUUUAGGAAUCCGAUAGAUAAUUAAUAGAUUCAUGAUGUCAAAAAAUCUUAGCAUUAUAAUGGUGUCCUAAUCCCAGUUGGUAGUUUGAAUCAACAUGAAGUUAAAUGAUACAUCCUAAUCAAAUUAUGUAACUCUAGGAAUAGUGAGACAAUUGGUGGUUUGAGUCCACAUGAAGAUGCUCUUUUCAAUUAUGGGACUUUUCUAUUUGUUGUUACCUAAGUCAUAGGAGUUCCUGGUUGUCUAGACGUUGAUAACUGGCUAAUAUUCUAAUUAUGAGAUCAAAUUGAAAAAGAUUGGAGUCUUAUUAUCAAGGGUUGGAUAUAGAUUUAAUGGUACUAGAAUUUUGUUCUCGUUUUUUUAAAUACCAGUAAGUAGAAAAUUUACUCCAUGUGAAAUUUAACAGCAAGUAGCAUAAUUUCUGAAUCACUAAACACUGAAGCUGGCAGAUCAGAUGUGGACCCAACUUAUAGGAAGGAUUUUCUAAGAAUAACAUUAUGCUCUUCACCCGAUGAAAACACAACAAACCAAACCAAUCUAUUAUAGCCUGAUAUAUGUAAUGUUAGUCAUUAUUAAUCAGUUCUGAUGUUUGCUUUUGAUGUGACGAUGUGAUAGAAAUUCAUAGGUAAUGAUUCUGCAGUUAAUAAAAUCAGUUUGUGGUUGUUUUUAAAUUUUUAAACCGGUGUUGCUUCACUUUACUAUGUAUUUUUUUCUUCUUCUCCUACUUAAUAUAAACUCUUUCAAAAUUAUAUGUCCUAAACUUCCUAUGUAUUUUUUAAGCUUAUUUAUUAAACUUAAUUAAGAGAUUAUAACUUUGACAGUUGGCCUUAAUUUGAGCUUCCCGUGUAUUAUAUUAAGAGCCAUGUUGUAGUAGGAAAUCCAAAAAAUAAUGGAAGAAGAACCAAUACUUUCCUAUGAACAGGUACUUUUUCAUCAUUUAUAUCUUUUUUGGUUUUAUUUUUACUUUCCCAUGCCAUGGUAUUUAACUUUUUUGCUUCUUUAUAUAUGUACCACAAAAGGUAUUUAAAUCGAAGUCUCGUGAUCGGGUUUUGGAGGUAGAAUAAUAGUUAAAGAAAUAUCAGGACCACAACGAAGUAGGGUGGAACAUUAAUCUAAGUUGAAAGAGGAAAAUAAACAAAAUCAUGUUCUAAAGAGCCAAUCGCGUGGAUACGGUACAAGAAGAAAACAAUGCAGUUAAGAGUCGGAUGACCGAGUUCAGUUGAAGAUGAGAUUAAUGAGCUUAAAGCAUUAUUUUUUUUGACAUAGGCUUAAUUUGCAUAAAUAAAAGAAAGAUUACCUAUUACAACUUAUUAACCUACUAGGGCCAUUUAAACCCCUUACAUAGAUUACACACCAAAAUACCAACAAAAUAUUAAAAACACAUGGGAUAGCACGUUCUUCAUUUGUCGACCCUUGAUUGUUGCCAUGAUAAUUUUUGCUAUUGAUCUCCUUAUUGAAGAUUGAAUUGCAACAGGUUUGGUAAACUUUGAGAGAGACCUUUGCAAACCUGUGGAGCUCGGAAACCAAAGAAAAGAGCGAAAGAGAAGUAAUACCACGAGUUGGUUGUAAAUGACUUGUGAUUUCCUCACAAGCCCGAAGAGUCACUAAAAGUGACUCGGUAAGCAUGCUAUAAACCCCCAGAAGGGAAGCAGCGUUCAAAUAAAAGUUUUUGAAAGCGGCGAGAUUGAAACUCAUCGCUAACCUAAAAUGAGAAUUAACAACAGUUAACCUCAAAGACCAACACACAACCCAAACCCGAGAACAUAAGACCCCCUUUCCAUACAUACCUCCUCCCCUUGACUCAAACACAAAACCACUACAUCCAAGACUCCUUACAAAGGGAAAUGGCUCCUCCUUACACCACAACACACCUCCUCCAAAAAACAAUUUGGAGGGUUGAAAGACACCAUCUCUUAUAAACUCCCUGCACACCAACAGACAACUCUCCACUCUACAAUUACAAAACACUUUAAGCAUUGAAUAUCCCACAUAGAACACUCAAUUAACUCCUGCACCUCCGAAAACCAAAGCAAACUUUCACAAGCAACAACCUCAUAUGGGAACAAUUCGACAUUAAAGAAGAAAACCAACCAAACUAUCCACAAGUAACUUAACGACUUAAGCAUAGCUAAUUAAACAAACUAACCAAACUAACAGAGGAGACUAACUAAAUAGAAACCAAGACCAUGAAUCAGAGAAGGAAAAAGAGGGAAGGAUUUCAAAGCACUUACAACCAAAUGAACCAGAAUUAGGAUUGGGAGAACUACCCAACUCCCCUAGCACACUUGAAGUGACAAAUUGAGCCUUCUAAAUCCAACCACAAACAUCAAACGGAAGCCCUCACCGUAUCUUUACCUUUACCGUCGAACCUCCACUUAGAGACGACGGUGGCGAUAAGAUGAGCUUGACGUCAAUGGAACUGAAACACCUCUUAAUCAAGAUCGAAAACGCCCUACUUGGUGAGACCCGAAGAAAUCCCCCAAAAUUUAAGGCCAAACCCUAACUUUACCUUUACCGGAGAAUGAAACGGACUCCGAAUCACUAAGCGGCGGCGUUAUGGAUGGUAUUUGGGUUUAGAUCGCCAAAGACCUCAGGACGUCAGAUCUGAGCAAAACUUCUUCUUAGAACCUUGGUGUAGUCGAAUCUCCGCCUACCAAACUCCCUUAAAGGGCUGGUGAAAACCUAAAAAAAAAAAAAAAAAAACACCUUCUAAUGCCGGUGUCGCAAAACGAAUCGCAGAGGAAGACAACCUUCCUUUCUAUGGCCACCAACAAUUCAAAACCUAAUUCGAACCGUCGCUGAACUCGAAGCUGCGAUUUACACCGACGAACUAACGACCUAACUACCUUGAACAGAGGCCCACCGACGACCUAAAGAGGGUGGCAGGUUAGGCCGCCGGUGAGCUCAAGGGAUUCUAGGGUUUUAGUUUUUGAGAUUCUUAGAGAGAAGGCAGAGAGAAUAGUUUAGAGAGAGAAAGUCUACUUUUGUAAACAGAGCUUAAAGCAUUUAAAGUAGUGUUCUUACAAUGCUUUUCAAGAGAUGGCACUCCAAGAGAAAACACUUCAACUAGUUAGAUUUACUUUGUUCUUUUAGGUUAAACAAGAGUUACUUAUCUUUUAGGUUUUUUAGAAUUUAAAGACAAGGGGAUGUGAUUUUUGGUUUCAUGUAACUUGAAAUUCUUUUGUCAAAAAUCUUUUGAGUAAUGAAAUUUUCAUUUGUUUUAAUUGA